CCCCGUGGACAUGGGGGGCAGCGCCUCAACCACGACCCUCGCUGCCCUUCUCUGCCUCGGGCUGUGUCGGGGCCCCCGGGACCGCGUGCAGGCGGGGACCCUCCCCAAGCCCUCCAUCUGAGCUGACCCAGGCCCCGUGGUUACCAACGGCAGCCCUGUGACCAUCCGCUGUCAGGGGCCUCGGCAGGCUGUCACGUGCAGUCUGUAUAAAGAGAACUCCGGACGCUGGACCCUGGUAGCCCAGGAUGAGUUCAGGGACAAGGCCAGUUUCCCCGUCGGGCCCAUGAGCGCACACCGCGCAGGACGGUACCAGUGUGCGUUUCACGGC